UACGGAAGGCAGCAGUGGGGAAUAUUGCACAAUGGGCGCAAGCCUGAUGCAGCCAUGCCGCGUGUAUGAAGAAGGCCUUCGGGUUGUAAAGUACUUUCAGUCGUGAGGAAGGUGUUAAGGUUAAUAACCUUAGCAAUUGACGUUAGCGACAGAAGAAGCACCGGCUAACUCCGUGCCAGCAGCCGCGGUAAUACGGAGGGUGCGAGCGUUAAUCGGAAUUACUGGGCGUAAAGGGCACGCAGGCGGUUAAUUAAGUUGGAUGUGAAAUCCCCGGGCUUAACCUGGGAAUGGCAUUCAAGACUGGUUAGCUAGAGUCUUGUAGAGGGGGUAGAAUUCCAUGUGUAGCGGUGAAAUGCGUAGAGAUGUGGAGGAAUACCGGUGGCGAAGGCGGCCCCUGGGACAAAGGCUGACGCUCAUGUGCGAAAGCGUGGGGAGCGAAACAGGAUUAGAUACC
rnacentral:rRNA from 1 species